rnacentral:rRNA from 1 species
AUUGAACGCUGGCGGCAUGCCUUACACAUGCAAGUCGAACGGUAACGGGCCUUCGGGUGCCGACGAGUGGCGAACGGGUGAGUAAUGCAUCGGAACGUACCUUUCAGUGGGGGAUAACGUAGCGAAAGUUACGCUAAUACCGCAUAUUCUGUGAGCAGGAAAGCAGGGGAUCGCAAGACCUUGCGCUGAUUGAGCGGCCGAUGUCAGAUUAGCUAGUUGGUGAGGUAAAGGCUCACCAAGGCGACGAUCUGUAGCGGGUCUGAGAGGAUGAUCCGCCACACUGGAACUGAGACACGGUCCAGACUCCUACGGGAGGCAGCAGUGGGGAAUUUUUGGACAAUGGGGGCAACCCUGAUCCAGCCAUGCCGCGUGAGUGAAGAAGGCC